CAAUUUUGAUUGAUCAAGAUUAGAUGUAACUAAUUUCUUUGCAACUUGUAUCACAUACAACAACACCUAAGAUUUCAAGAUCUAUAGUUUUGAAAAAAAAUAAGUUUUCUCUUUUCGCUUUCUUCUUCAUGAGACGUCACAGUGGCACCCCUACAAGCUAUGAAGAGCAUCCUAUUGAACGAAAAGAGAGGAUCAUGUAACCCUACUUGCUCCU
rnacentral:lncRNA from 1 species